rnacentral:lncRNA from 1 species
CUGAGGCAGGAGAAUCGCUAAUAAAAAUACAAAAAAUUAGCUGGGCAUGGUGAUGCGCCUGCAAACCCAGCUGCUCAGGAGGCUGAGUCAGGGGAAUCAUUUGAACCUGGGAGGUGGAGGCUGCAGUGAGCCGAGAUCACGCCGCUGCACUCCAGUCUGGGCAACAGAACAAGACUCCGUUUAAAAAAAGAAAGAAAGAAAAUCCUUUCUCUUGGCUCACACCUGACUCCACUUGGCUCCACACCUGAGCUGACCUGCGUUUCCUCCUUCAAAAUUCCCUAAAAAACUUCUCUCUCAGUGUGGGUCCUGCUUCCUCCUUUCUUUCUCUUGCUCAUUCUCUCCUCCCCCAUAGGAAAAGCUCCAGAAACUCCCCUAGCAAGGCUGGAUCUCUCCAAGCUUCAGAAAGAGGAAGACAACUGAACAGGCAGGGCUCGCAUCUUCUUUAGAGGCGGUGGAGUUGGGGGACAGCUGGUAACAGGAUAGAUAGCAACAACCACCUUGAAGAUAAUGCACGAAGUGUCGGCACUGCACAGUACAUGAAUGAUCUCACUUAACUCCCGUGCAAACCCUAUGCCAUGGCUGCUAUUAUCAUUCACGUUUACAGGAUGAGGAAACUAAUGCUCAUGCAGGGUGAAAGCCUCCCUUCCCUACAUCAU